GGUCGCAUGGCGCAGUCGGUAGUGAGUUGGACCUCUGUUCCAGAGGUCACGGGUUCGAGUCCACCAGACGCCA